AUGCCGGUGCCUGAUGCUACAUCCCGCACGCUCCCUCCCAAUCAGGUGCCCCUUUCCAAGGCUUAUGAUCCAUGUCCUAUUUGCAAAGCUACUAGUCAUUCUCCCACUAGUUGCCCGCAAGCUUUUUGUGAAAGGUGUAGCAAGCUGGGGCACUUGGCAUCGGUGUGUGUUACCUUUUUACCUUGGGAGUGCGUUGCACCCAUGUGUGCCUUCCAGGCCAAGGGACAGGGGUUCUUUUACAUCCCUGAUUCAUGCACUGCUAAACAGCUUAAGGAAAGAGCUACUAGUGUUGUGAUUACUGUCAUUGAGGGGGAAGCUAGUGUUAAGGAGUUAGAAGAAGCGUUUUCUGAUUACAUUAGGACUAAGUGGCAUUGUACUGCCUGUACUAUUGGUCCUAAUACUUAUGUGAUGAGAUUUCUCAAUCAAAGGGAUGUGAAAAAAGCAUGUUACAAUGAUAGGAUGAUCCUUAAAUCUUGCGGUGUAGUUGUUAAAAUUGUUCCCUGGUCGGCCAACAUUGGGGCUAAGGGAGUCAUGGAGAUGGCCUGGGUUAAAGUAGCUAAUAUUCCACUGGAAAGAAGAAAUGAGAGGAAUGUCGCCUAUGUUUCUUCCCUGGUGGGCGUCCCGCUCGAGAUCGACAUGGCCACCCAGGGGUAG
rnacentral:rRNA from 1 species